rnacentral:piRNA from 1 species
UCCGUGUCAACACUUGCUUUUCUAGCCUG